rnacentral:misc_RNA from 1 species
CAAAUUUCUGCCUCUAAAAAACCCUGGAAAUGAAAUCUCUCCCACCAUAUUCUUGUAUAUAAUAAUUUAUAAUUUACAAAAUAGUUUUGGUUUAUUCAUUUACUUCCUGAACUGAGAGCGUUCAAUUAACAGUUUUUAGCCUGUACAUCAAGAGAAAUGCUGUCUACCAAUUGGUAAUGGCUGAAAUGGCACAAAUGGGUAGAGAUAUAAUAACAAGGCAG